CAUUUGUUCAGGUGCCAUGGUAAAUAAUGUUAGACAAGAUUUAGCCCCAUAUUUUUUAACAGCUUGGCAUUGUACAGAUGGAGAUAACCCUAGUACUUUUCGUUUUUAUUUUAACAAGGAGGCAUCCUUAUGUGAAAAUACAUGGUCAAGUCUUGGGCCAUAUGCAUAUAGCUCUGAUCAAGUUGCUCAUUCAGAUGGAAUCUCUGGAGGGGAUUGGGCGCUUUUGCUAAUUGAUGAUGAGAUUGAUGAAUCUUGGGUGAAAUCGUUGCGCUUAACAAAACGACGUGCUUGAGAUACUGUUAGUCUAGAGACCGGGAGGCGUUAGAAGUAUUCCAGGGGGAGCGGUAAAAUGUUAUAAUCCCUGGAGGACUACCUGUGGCGAAGGCGUCUAACGAGAACGGGUCUGACGGUCAGGAACGAAAGCUAGGGGAGCAAACCGGAUUAGAUACCCGAGUAGUCCUAGCCGUAAACGCUGUGUACUAGAUGUUGCAUAAUCUACAUGGUUGUGCAGUGUCGGAGCGAAGGUGUUAAGUACACCGCCUGGGAAGUACGGUCGCAAGGCUGAAACUUAAAGGAAUUGGCGGGGGAGCACCACAAGGGGUGCGGCGUGCGGUUUAAUCUAACUUCACGCAGAGAAUCUCACCAGCAGCGACGGCAGAAUGAAGGUCAGAUUAAAUGUCUUACCCAACGAGCCGAGAGGUAGUGCAUGGCCGUCGUCAGCUCGUGCCGUAAGGUGUCCUCUUAAGUGAGGUAACGAGCGAGAC
rnacentral:rRNA from 1 species